GGCGGCGACAGUUACCGUCACCUUCCGGCAAAGACUGUCCGCCCGGCCAGCAGAUAACGCCACGAGUGACUGAGUUCGGGCGCGGGUCUUCCGGCAGAUUCGCACUGCGCGACAGUAAGAUAUUAUUGACCUGAUUCAACAAUGCUGUUUACCACUGCUCUUGACGUUGAUCUGACUCCUGCCAGUGGCUUCACUUCUGACAGCAAACGUCAGUUUGCAAGUGUUGGUGCUGAAUUUAACGCAUGGAAAUGGGCGCAAUUGCGUGCCGGUUAUCGUCAGAACAUGGCAUCAAAACGCUCAGGUGCGAAAGCGUGGGGAGCAAACAGGAUUAGAUACCCUGGUAGUCCACGCCGUAAACGAUGUCGACUUGGAGGUUGUGCCCUUGAGGCGUGGCUUCCGGAGCUAACGCGUUAAGUCGACCGCCUGGGGAGUACGGCCGCAAGGUUAAAACUCAAAUGAAUUGACGGGGGCCCGCACAAGCGGUGGAGCAUGUGGUUUAAUUCGAUGCAACGCGAAGAACCUUACCUGGUCUUGACAUCCACGGAAGUUUUCAGAGAUGAGAAUGUGCCUUCGGGAACCGUGAGACAGGUGCUGCAUGGCUGUCGUCAGCUCGUGUUGUGAAAUGUUGGGUUAAGUCCCGCAACGAGCGCAACCCUUAUCCUUUGUUGCCAGCGGUCCGGCCGGGAACUCAAAGGAGACUGCCAGUGAUAAACUGGAGGAAGGUGGGGAUGACGUCAAGUCAUCAUGGCCCUUACGACCAGGGCUACACACGUGCUACAAUGGCGCAUACAAAGAGAAGCGACCUCGCGAGAGCAAGCGGACCUCAUAAAGUGCGCUACGACCGGUUGCAACACCUUUGAUUUUGUCUACCACGUCCAUGCCUUCAACCACUUCAGCAAACACGCAGUAGCCCCAACCUUGCAGGCUUUCGCCAGAGAAGUUCAGGAAGUCGUUAUCAACCACGUUGAUGAAGAACUGUGCAGUUGCAGAGUGCGGAGCCUGAGUACGGGCCAUUG
rnacentral:rRNA from 1 species